GGAAUGGAGUCAAAUAACUACUUUACAGCAAGGAACGUUUAAGGGCCUACCAGCACUCAAUAAUAUGUUUUGGGAUUACAGUCAAAUUACUACUAUACAAACUGGAGCGUUUGAAAACCUAAUAGCACUCACUACUCUAGUUUUAUGGAACAGACAAAUAACUACAAUACAAACAGGAGCAUUCAAAGACCUUCCAGCACUAAC